rnacentral:rRNA from 1 species
CUUUGGUUCUGUUUUGUUGGUUUAAAGAACCAAGGUAAUGAUUAAUAGGGACAGUUGGGGGCAUUAGUAUUUCAGGGCUAGAGGUGAAAUUCUUGGAUUCCUGAAAGACUAACUACUGCGAAAGCAUCUGCCAAGGAUGUUUUCAUUAAUCAAGGACGAAAGUUAGGGGAUCGAAAACGAUUAGAUACCGUUGUAGUCUUAACCAUAAACUAUGCCGACUCAGGAUCAGUGAAUGUUCGUUUUGACUUCAUUGGCACUGUAGGAGAAAUCAAAGUUUUUGGGCUCCGGGGGGAGUACGGUUGCAAGGCUGAAACUUAAAGGAAUUGACGGAAGGGCACCACCAGGAGUGGAGCCUGCGGCUUAAUUUGACUCAACACGGGGAAACUCACC